GCCACUGCCAGAGAUCUCGAUAAGUUCGCUACCAUGAUGAAACUCAACGUGGAUGUUUCGGGGGAAGAGAUCAACAUCCGCUCUCUUUAUCUGUUAGGCAGAGAGGCGACCCUGAAGGACUCGGACCUGGAACGUUUUAAGCUGCAGGCGAGCUGCCUCGGCUUCUCCGG